UCAUGAAUGAGAAGUGAGAAAGCAUGUUGUGUGAGGUAUUGAGCUUCAGAGUUUUUAUUGAUGUAUGUAUUGUUCACAGGGAAUCAUGAAUGAUAUUACCUUAGUCUUGAUAAUUGAUUGAAUUGCAUGUUUAUGUUAUUUGAUCAAGGCCAUGCUUGGAAGCCCUUACUUAGCCAAAUUUUCACCCAAAGUGUUUUAAAUGAUAUACCCUUUUUGAACCUUGGCCUUAAACAGUAUGAAAACCCUCGUUUGAAUUGGAUUACCUUGAGUUGGGUUGAGGAUAAUUGUAUGUGUUGAAAAGGUUCAAGUUUGGGGUUGUAUGGGGAAAGUGAAAAGCAAAAGAAAAAGAAUUGAGUUCAAAAUUUGAAAAAGAAAAAUGCAUGAGAAAGAAAGGAAAAGAAGAAAGAAAAAGCAUGUAAAGUGAGUCAAUGUAAAAAGGAAAAAGGGAAGAAGUUGGGAAUGAGUGAGAUUGGUUAAAAAGAGAGUGUGCUUGAACUUUGAAUGAUGAUUUAAACUCUCUUAACUCAAGGAUUUUGUAUUCCAGAAAAACCAAUUUUUCUUGAUAACCCAGCCUCAUUACAAGCCUUGGAAAAGUCCUUGUGAUGACAUUUGCAUGUGAAGAUUUUGAUUGUGUUAGAUGAAUGACAAUAAUGUUUUAUGUGACAUGUGAACAGUAGAGAGUAGAGUGACUGAUGAGUGGUUAUUUCUUGAACUAUAUUUAGUUUAUUGCACUUAAAUAAACCAGGGAAUUGUGUUUAAUUGUCUGUUAUUUCCCCGUUUUCCGAAUUCUGCUUAAUUUGGUCGGAAAUUUGUAAUUGUGCUAAUUUGGGUUUUUUGAGCUGAUUAAGUGUNAAAUUUUGGGAAACAUCAAUUGGAGCAUUAGGGAUGGUGGCAUAAUUAUUCAAGACUCAACAUUUAGCCAUUUUCAUUUUUAUAAAGUUGUAUUUUCGUUUUUUUUAGAAACCUUAAUUAGAUUAAGUGCAUUUGGGCCAUUUUGUGGCAAAUUUUGUAG
rnacentral:lncRNA from 1 species